GGGUAGUUUUUUUUUUUUCUGGAGAUUCUUCAUCUUGGGAGUUUUUCCUGCAAACUUAGAUCUUUGGAUACAGGCAAUAACUUCGAACACUAACUUCAAGCUUUCAUUGAGAGCAUAGAUUCUACAGCAACCAAGUAACAAUGGCAACAAAAUUGCAUUCCAUUGAUUGAAGCUUUUUAAAGGAAACUGCUUCUCAGAAUGUUCAGAGCCACACAUAUGUUUAUAGAGCUGGGAAUGUGAGACUACGACAACCUUUCCCUUGUGUAAUGUCAAUGUCGGCUAUCACUUUGGCAGAAUCAGCCAGCUCAGUGAAGACAUGAAAACCCUCCUUCCCUCCUGUUUUUUCAUCUGCUGGUGGCAUUCAAAGUGACCUUCCCUUAUAAAUAUUGCACAGUAAAGUAGUGAUAGGUUUGCCUUGGUCCUCCAGAUUAGAAACUUUGCCAUCAGUAUUCAUUCAGAGUAAGAAGGUGAAGUAAUUGCCUCAUUGAGGACACAUGUGAAGCCCCAAUAUAUUCAGGUGCUAGGAACUUGCUUCAGCUUUAAUUUCUUUGAUGCUUCAAGUUGGUUUUGGAGCACAGAGUAAGCUACAAAAGUGAAACCACAAAAUUCACAGAAACCACAGGUCCUUGGAGCAAGAUUUCUCCUCACUUAAGAUGAGGAUGUUAUUGUUGUUGCUAUCAUAACUAGUUGCUUUUGUUUCCUUUGUGCAUAUGGAAUGAAA